UAAGUCAGCCACGAAUAGGCUAUCCCAACUAACGGCGGGAAAGACUCCACGGAGGGUGUAAGACCCGUGUGGGCGCGUGUUAAAGCUGUGUGGGCUCGGCCUCCAUUCCCUGAGAGUCGCGUUGCUUGAGCAUGCAGCGCUAAGCAGGUCGUAAACUCGAUCUAAGGCUAAAUAUUUCCACAGAACCGAUAGCGAACAAGUACCGUGAGGGAAAGUUGAAAAGCACUCUGGAGAGAGAGUCAAAAGACCGUGAAACCGCUCAGAGUAUAAGCCCAUGGCAGCUUGGAAGGCAUAUCGCUAGCGGGGCAUCGGUCUCCCUUCGCGGGGAGCUGGUGUUACCUUGCUUCUGUUGUGGCUCGUCAUGGUAGGGGGGUCAGGUCCACAUCCCGCCGUCGUGUGGAGAGUUCUUGGGUGUGUUGUGGUUUCUCGGUUGGCUUCGGCUUUCCGGGGGGCUCUUCGUACUUGGUUCUCUUUUAGACACGGACGUUCAGACUCAGUUGCAAGACGCGAUAACCAGCCCACCACGGCACGUUGUGAGGUCACCCACAGGCUCGACUUUCGAUCGUGAGCCUUGACGCCGAGCAAGCACAAUGCGUGUCGCAGAGGUUCCUAACCAGGCAAUGCUGCCAGGAUCGUGGAACGACACGCGCUCAACAGUCAGGUUCGGGCGGAGACAGAGUUCUGGUAUGAUCCUCUUGCGACGAGCCGGCUUCUGGCCGACAUCCGAUGCUCAGGUCUCCCGCAUGUGCCGCGGGAGAUCGCUUUGACGGUCUGGA
rnacentral:rRNA from 1 species